GACAGAGGGUGCAAACGUUGUUCGGAAUUACUGGGCGUAAAGCGCGUGUAGGCGGCUCGGAAAGUCGGGUGUGAAAGCCCUGGGCUCAACCCAGGAAGUGCAUUCGAAACUUCCGAGCUGGAGUCCUGGAGAGGAUGGUGGAAUUCUCGGUGUAGAGGUGAAAUUCGUAGAUAUCGAGAGGAACACCGGUGGCGAAGGCGACCAUCUGGACAGUGACUGACGCUGAGACGCGAAAGCGUGGGGAGCAAACAGG
rnacentral:rRNA from 1 species